GACGAACGCUGGCGGCGUGCCUAACACAUGCAAGUCGAACGGAAAGGCCCUGCUUUUGUGGGGUGCUCGAGUGGCGAACGGGUGAGUAACACGUGAGUAACCUGCCCUUGACUUUGGGAUAACUUCAGGAAACUGGGGCUAAUACCGGAUAGGAGCUCCUGCUGCAUGGUGGGGGUUGGAAAGUUUCGGCGGUUGGGGAUGGACUCGCGGCUUAUCAGCUUGUUGGUGGGGUAGUGGCUUACCAAGGCUUUGACGGGUAGCCGGCCUGAGAGGGUGACCGGCCACAUUGGGACUGAGAUACGGCCCAGACUCCUACGGGAGGCAGCAGUGGGGAAUAUUGCACGAUGGGCGGAAGCCUGAUGCAGCAACGCCGCGUGCGGGAUGACGGCCUUCGGGUUGUAAACCGCUUUCGCCUGUGACGAAGCGUGAGUGACGGUAAUGGGUAAAGAAGCACAGGCUAACUACGUG
rnacentral:rRNA from 1 species